rnacentral:rRNA from 1 species
UACGAAGGGGGCUAGCGUUGCUCGGAAUUACUGGGCGUAAAGGGCGCGCAGGCGGCUCUUCAAGUCAGGCGUGAAAGCCCCGGGCUUAACCUGGGAAUUGCGCUUGGGACUGGAGGGCUUGAGUACGGGAGAGGAGAGUGGAAUUCCCAGUGUAGAGGUGAAAUUCGUAGAUAUUCGGAAGAACACCAGUGGCGAAGGCGGCUCACUGGCCCGUUACCGACGCUCAGGCGCGACAGCGUGGGGAGCAAACAGG